ensembl:lncRNA
AGGAGAGUAGCAGAUGAUGUGGCUGUGUCAGUUCCAAACAGAGCAGGAUAUAUCCCCGAGUCUCUCAUAAUGUUCCCUUCCCAUCAACACAAAUCUAUUUACAAACUCAAAAGAGGAGAAGCCAACUACUGAUGCCAGGCCACUAAAGCAGAGGCAGCCUGUGACUUGCCCACAUCUCUGUUGCUAAGAGCAUGGCACUAGUUACGAUAAAGUUGUGGGUUUCAUUGCUGCAAGAUCACAUCCAAAAAGAUGUGUACACUCAAUCGAGACGUCGAUAGAUAUAUUAUAUGUCUUGGGACAUCUUCAUUUGUCUCAAGACAUGGUGAUAUGGCUGGGUAUUGUAGUUAAUUGACAUGACAGGUUUAGUGUGUGUGUUUAAAAAAAAAAAAAAUUAACUAUCCUUGUGGGCACCAGAAGUGGGGACAUUUUGCCGGUCUCCACGAGAAAAAAAAACAUUAUUUUAGGCUUAAUGUUUAGAGUCAGGCUUAGGGUUCUAGGUUUAGGGUUAGGCUUAGGGUUCUAGGUUUAGGGUCAGGCUUAGGGUUCUAGGUUUAGG